UGAGGAAUAUUGGUCAAUGGACGAGAGUCUGAACCAGCCAAGUAGCGUGAAGGAUGACUGCCCUAUGGGUUGUAAACUUCUUUUAUACGGGAAUAAAGUGAGGCACGUGUGCCUUUUUGUAUGUACCGUAUGAAUAAGGAUCGGCUAACUCCGUGCCAGCAGCCGCGGUAAUACGGAGGAUCCGAGCGUUAUCCGGAUUUAUUGGGUUUAAAGGGAGCGUAGGCGGACGCUUAAGUCAGUUGUGAAAGUUUGCGGCUCAACCGUAAAAUUGCAGUUGAUACUGGGUGUCUUGAGUACAGUAGAGGCAGGCGGAAUUCGUGGUGUAGCGGUGAAAUGCUUAGAUAUCACGAAGAACUCCGAUUGCGAAGGCAGCCUGCUGGACUGUAACUGACGCUGAUGCUCGAAAGUGUGGGUAUCAAACAGGAUUAGAUACCCUGGUAGUCCACACAGUAAACGAUGAAUACUCGCUGUUUGCGAUAUACAGUAAGCGGCCAAGCGAAAGCGUUAAGUAUUCCACCUGGGGAGUACGCCGGCAACGGUGAAACUCAAAGGAAUUGACGGGGGCCCGCACAAGCGGAGGAACAUGUGGUUUAAUUCGAUGAUACGCGAGGAACCUUACCCGGGCUUGAAUUGCAACUGAAUGAUGUGGAGACAUGUCAGCCGCAAGGCAGUUGUGAAGGUGCUGCAUGGUUGUCGUCAGCUCGUGCCGUGAGGUGUCGGCUUAAGUGCCAUAACGAGCGCAACCCUUAUCGAUAGUUACCAUCAGGUUAUGCUGGGGACUCUGUCGAGACUGCCGUCGUAAGAUGUGAGGAAGGUGGGGAUGACGUCAAAUCAGCACGGCCCUUACGUCCGGGGCUACACACGUGUUACAAUGGGGGGUACAGAAGGCAGCUACACGGCGACGUGAUGCUAAUCCCGAAAGCCUCUCUCAGUUCGGAUUGGAGUCUGCAACCCGACUCCAUGAAGCUGGAUUCGCUAGUAAUCGCGCAUCAGCCACGGCGCGGUGAAUACGUUCCC
rnacentral:rRNA from 1 species